rnacentral:rRNA from 1 species
GAUGAACGCUGGCGGCGUGCCUAAUACAUGCAAGUCGAGCGAACAGACGAGGAGCUUGCUCCUUUGACGUUAGCGGCGGACGGGUGAGUAACACGUGGGUAACCUACCUAUAAGACUGGGAUAACUUCGGGAAACCGGAGCUAAUACCGGAUAAUAUUUCGAACCGCAUGGUUCGAUAGUGAAAGAUGGCUCUGCUAUCACUUAUAGAUGGACCUGCGCCGUAUUAGCUAGUUGGUAAGGUAACGGCUUAUCAAGGCAACGAUACGUAGCCGACCUGAGAGGGUGAUCGGCCACACUGGAACUGAGACACGGUCCAGACUCCUACGGGAGGCAGCAGUAGGGAAUCUUCCGCAAUGGGCGAAAGCCUGACGGAGCAACGCCGCGUGAGUGAUGAAGGUCUUCGGAUCGUAAAACUCUGUUAUUAGGGAAGAACAAACGUGUAAGUAACUGUGCACGUCUUGACGGUACCUAAUCAGAAAGCCACGGCUAACUACGUG